UGGGUGGAAGAAGCGGGAAAGCAGGCAAAAGCUUUGGCGCCUCUCAGUCUACCACAGGCACCAUAAUUGGCCUUGCUUUGCAGCUUGCUUUGUUUGUGAUAAACACAGGUCCUGAUCCUAGGCCUGUGCAGCUUGCCUUUUUGGAGAAACAAUUCAGGAUCGGUUCUAGGGGUGGCUUUAUCUGUUGCUAUUGGUCAAAGACGCUGGUCACAAUGGUUAAAAACAGAGCAAACCUGCUUGUUUGCUGCUGCUGCUGCUUUUGUUGCCUGUUCGCCUUCCGUGCCUCUGCGUGCCACCAGGCGUGCGUAACUGGGGACUUGCCUACGACCGGCAGUCCUGACCCUGCCUGAUCGAGCCGAGGGACUGAAACCAGCUUGCCUCUAGGCCGGGACGCAGCUACCUGCUUGAGCUCAGCCGAGCCCGAAUAUGGGUAACGACCUAGCAACGGCCUAGGCCUAGCAACGAGUUGCGACGCCGGCACCACCCGGCCCGCCGCUCCGGCCCGAGGGCUGACUCCUUGCUAUACACCGCACUCGAUCGGACUGCUCCAGCCCGCAAACCUGGACCCCGCUUUGCCCAAGUGGCUGCUGACCACCCGAUCACUUCCUGAGAGCCUGGGAACACUUCUCUCGUGUCCGUGGGCCUCCUCAGACGACAUGCACCAAGCAGCAAAGCCUGAUCGCAUCAUUACCACGUGAAGUCCACCAGGUGGCCGUGACUCUGUAUUUUCCCUUUAUGCUGUUGGAGCGCAAAUAUCGAGACUCUUAACUAGACAUGGCAUAUCACUGUCUCAAGCAAAAAUUUUUAGCUGAAGUUAAUAUCAAGAAGUGCUUGCUGAUCAAUUUUUUUUUUGAGGACUUCAUUACCCAAUGAUAUGUAAGUAAGCAUGUCCCUUCUUGUGUCAGUAGAACCUAACUAUGAACUAGGAGCCAUAUCCACAUUUCAUGUUAAGUCAUAUGCAAAUUGUAAGCAAAAUUUGAUUUAUCUGCUUUAUAAUCAACAUGAUAGUUCCACAUUGCCAUCACACUGGGUUUUAGGAUUGUAGCAGCGUUAGUGACAAUGAUGUUAGCAUCAGUAUCAUUCUGAUUGUCUCAGAAAUUUUCUGCAUUCUCGUUAGUGUAUUACAUAAAUCUAUUCAAAUAUUAUGGAAGGCUAUAUUAGGUUUGUCUGAUACCACGGAAGAAAAAUGGGAAACACUGAAUAAAAAACAAUUCUUUUUCUUCUGAAGUAG